GAGUUUGAUCGUGGCUCAGAUUGAACGCUGGCGGCAUGCCUUACACAUGCAAGUCGAACGGCAGCAUGAUCUAGCUUGCUAGAUUGGUGGCGAGUGGCGAACGGGUGAGUAAUACAUCGGAACGUGCCCUGUAGUGGGGGAUAACUAGUCGAAAGAUUAGCUAAUACCGCAUACGACCUGAGGGUGAAAGUGGGGGACCGCAAGGCCUCAUGCUAUAGGAGCGGCCGAUGUCUGAUUAGCUAGUUGGUGGGGUAAAGGCCCACCAAGGCGACGAUCAGUAGCUGGUCUGAGAGGACGAUCAGCCACACUGGGACUGAGACACGGCCCAGACUCCUACGGGAGGCAGCAGUGGGGAAUUUUGGACAAUGGGCGAAAGCCUGAUCCAGCAAUGCCGCGUGUGUGAAGAAGGCCU
rnacentral:rRNA from 1 species